rnacentral:rRNA from 1 species
UCGUCCGCGGAGGGUUAGUCUGGACCUAAGGCGAGGCCGAAAGGCGUAGUCGAUGGAUAACAGGUCAAUAUUCCUGUACCAGUUAUGUUUUGGGAAGGGGGACGGAGAAGGCUAGCCAGGCCAGAUGUUGGUUACUGGUUCAAGCGUUCAAGGCUUUGAGAGAUGGAGAAAACAUCUUGAGCUGAGGCGUGAGUACGAGCUGCUACGGCAGCGAAGUUGGUGAUGUCAUGCUUCCAAGAAAAGCCCUAUACCCGUUAAGACAUAAAUGCCAGUACCCGAAACCGACACAGGUGGGGUGGUAGAGAAUACCGAGGGGCGCGAGAUAACUCUCUCUAAGGAACUCGGCAAAAUGGCCCCGUAACUUCGGGAGAAGGGGUGCCAGCGAGAGCUGGUCGCAGUGAAGAGGCGCAAGCGACUGUUUACCAAAAACACAGGUCUCCGCUAAGUCGCAAGACGAUGUAUGGGGGCUGACACCUGCCCAGUGCCGGAAGGUUAAGGAAGCUGGUUAGCUUUUUAGCAAAGCUAGCGACUGAAGCCCCGGUGAACGGCGGCCGUAACUAUAACGGUCCUAAGGUAGCGAAAUUCCUUGUCGGGUAAGUUCCGACCCGCACGAAAGGUGUAACGAUUUGCGCGCUGUCUCGGAGAGAGGCUCGGCGAAAUAGAAUUGUCUGUGAAGAUGCGGACUACAUACACCCGGACAGAAAGACCCUAUGAAGCUUUACUGUAGUUUGAUAUUGUGCUCGGGCUCUAAUUGCGCAGAAUAGGUGGGAGACGUUGAAAUAGUACUUGUGGGUAUUAUUGAGUCAUCGGUGAGAUACCACUCUAUUAGAGCUAGGGUUCUAACGCUUACCCGUUAUCCGGGAAGCGGACAGUAUCUGAUGGGCAGUUUGACUGGGGCGGUCGCCUCCUAAAAGGUAACGGAGGCGCACAAAGGUUCCCUCAGGCUGGUUGGAAAUCAGUCGUUGAGUGCAAAAGCAGAAGGGAGCUUGACUGUGAGACCUACAAGUCGAACAGGGACGAAAGUCGGUUUUAGUGAUCCGACGGUUCUGCGUGGAAGGGCCGUCGCUCAACGGAUAAAAGUUACUCUAGGGAUAACAGGCUGAUCUCCCCCAAGAGUUCACAUCGACGGGGAGGUUUGGCACCUCGAUGUCGGCUCAUCGCAACCUGGGGCUGAAGUCGGUCCCAAGGGUUGGGCUGUUCGCCCAUUAAAGCGGUACGCGAGCUGGGUUCAGAACGUCGUGAGACAGUUCGGUCCAUAUCCGGUGUAUGCGCAGGAAUAUUGAGAGGAUUUCUCCCUAGUACGAGAGGACCGGGAGGAACGCACCUCUGGUGUGCCAGUUAUCGUGCCAACGGUAAACGCUGGGUAGCCAUGUGCGGAGUGGAUAACCGCUGAAAGCAUCUAAGUGGGAAGCCCACCUCAAGAUGAGUAUUGCCAUGGCUUAAGCCAGUAAGGUCACGGGAAGAACACCCGUUGAUAGGCUCUACGUGGAAGCUUGGUAACAAGUGCAGCGGAGGAGUACUAAUAGACCGAGGGCUUGACCAA